CCAGGUCGUCGGAUCGGGCACAGGUUAUGAAAAACAAGUCAACUUCCAAGUCUGUGAGAGGAUUAUUAUAUCCUGGGCAGCCUGGAUAUAUUGCUUACAAAUUUCAGGAGGGCCUGGAAUGGGACAUGAUGUCUCAAAUAGUGCCCAGAGACUCAAUUGGCUCAGUCAGUAACUAUAACAUGAAGGUCAAGAAAAGAAAGGUCAGAAGGAAUUACCGGAUCAGUAUUUGCAUCUACAUAAAGACAGCAA